GACAGAGGGUGCAAACGUUGCUCGGAAUCACUGGGCGUAAAGGGCGUGUAGGCGGGAAGGAUAGUCAGAUGUGAAAGCCCUGGGCUCAACCCAGGAACUGCAUUUGAAACUCCCUUUCUUGAGUGUCGGAGAGGAAAGCGGAAUUCCUGGUGUAGAGGUGAAAUUCGUAGAUAUCAGGAGGAACACCGGUGGCGAAGGCGGCUUCCUGGACGACAACUGACGCUGAGACGCGAAAGCGUGGGGAGCAAACAGG
rnacentral:rRNA from 1 species